rnacentral:rRNA from 1 species
CUUGGAGGUUGUGCCCUUGAGGCGUGGCUUCCGGAGCUAACGCGUUAAGUAGACCGCCUGGGGAGUACGGCCGCAAGGUUAAAACUCAAAUGAAUUGACGGGGGCCCGCACAAGCGGUGGAGCAUGUGGUUUAAUUCGAUGCAACGCGAAGAACCUUACCUGGUCUUGACAUCCACAGAAGAAUCCAGAGAUGGAUUUGUGCCUUCGGGAACUGUGAGACAGGUGCUGCAUGGCUGUCGUCAGCUCGUGUUGUGAAAUGUUGGGUUAAGUCCCGCAACGAGCGCAACCCUUAUCCUUUGUUGCCAGCGGUCCGGCCGGGAACUCAAAGGAGACUGCCAGUGAUAAACUGGAGGAAGGUGGGGAUGACGUCAAGUCAUCAUGGCCCUUACGACCAGGGCUACACACGUGCUACAAUGGCGCAUACAAAGAGAAGCGACCUCGCGAGAGCAAGCGGACCUCAUAAAGUGCGUCGUAGUCCGGAUUGGAGUCUGCAACUCGACUCCAUGAAGUCGGAAUCGCUAGUAAUCGUGGAUCAGAAUGCCACGGUGAAUACGUUCCCGGGCCUUGUACACACCGCCCGUCACACCAUGGGAGUGGGUUGCAAAAGAAGUAGGUAGCUUAACCUUCGGGAGGGCGCUUACCACUUUGUGAUUCAUGACUGGGGUGAAGUCGUAACAAGGUAACCGUAGGGGAACCUGC